rnacentral:rRNA from 1 species
AACGAACGCUGGCGGCAUGCCUAACACAUGCAAGUCGAACGAGACCUUCGGGUCUAGUGGCGCACGGGGUGCGUAACGCGUGGGAACCUGCCCUUAGGUUCGGAAUCACUCCCCGAAAGGGGUGCUAAUACCGGAUAAUGUCUUCGGACCAAAGUUUUAUCGCCUUUGGAUGGGCCCGCGUUGGGUUAGCUUGUUGGUAGGGUAAAGGCCUACCAAGGCGACGUUCCAUAGCUGGUCUGAGAGAAUGAUCAGCCACACUGGGACUGGGACGCGGUCCAGACUCCUACGCGAGGGAGCAGUGGGUAAUAGAGGAAAAUGGCGGAAAUCAUGAUCGUGCUCGGCCGGGAGAGCGAUGUAGGCAUUAGGGAUCUAAAGUUCAAUUAACCGGGAUGAUAAUGACAGUACCGGGAGAAUAAGCUCCGGCUAACUACGUG